GUCAUUGUUCCUGACAUCACGAGGGCCCUGGCUGCAUCCCUGGCCUCGGAACUGCCAGGAAAACUCCAGUCUAGCUGUAACCAUCAAGGAUCCUGAAAAGUUACCACGUUACUUCCCCAAGUUAUGUGCACCCACUGCAGGAAUGAGUAAAGGCCAGGAGACUGUGGGCUGGCGACUGAGUAACAACAGAAGCCUUGAGUCAAAGUAAAAUGAAAUGAUAUUGCAAGUAUGUGAAUUUUAACUAUUUUUACAAUAACUUAUAAAGUAA
rnacentral:lncRNA from 1 species